ensembl:lncRNA
CGGAGUUGUGCAAGUGUUUUUGUUUGUUCCCUGCAUUUCGAAGAUGCUUGUUUUACAAACAAGUCCCAGUUUGACGCCGGAUUUGCAAAGCGUUUAUUUCUUAAGGAUGAUGCAGUCCCAACGAAAAAUGGUCACGAUCGUGUGUUGGAAUCGCAGGCGACCAGGACUGAAGACCAAAAGACCCUGGAGAACAGAAGAGAGGAAGAGUGGAAAGAUAAAUAGAGAAAGAUGAACUUCUGCACCAAGAGAAUAGGAAUUUUCCCUCUCCUCUGCUUUAGCUGUCCAGAACCAUGCACCAUUAUGAGCAUCUCCUCCAAGGAUGUGAGCAGGGAGGGCUGCGGAUGCACUUCACAUAGUUUCUCCUCCAGGGGAAAAUCAUGCUUUUCAUCUGUUUGACAGCAGGCUUGACCUCAUUUUAAGGUCAGCAUAGAAAGGAGAGAGUGAGUGUUUGGAGGUCUCGGGGAAGCCCAGGAGAGUUUUGUCCCCAACUGCUUACUGGACUAAAAGCCCUGCAGAUGAAGGAAAGAACUUAAAAUGACUCAUCUCUGGCAGCUCAGCAGCACUUGACAGUUCAACAAGACUUUUGCAGGCCAGGUCUGACACCAAACAGAUUCCUAAGAGUUUUCUGGGAUUGAUCUGUCAUAAUGCAUGUACACUUGCUAAUUGAAGAAAUUCAACAGAAACCUUCAUGUGCUGAUCAGAAGAGAAGCUGAGAACAUCUAAAAGAGUCCAACAGGACAGAGUCCAAAAGGUACAGCACUGGAGGCCACAGUAAUGAACUCUCUACUCCUAACCCAUACAGCAGUUUCCUGCUCCAGACUACGAAUAAUUCAGGUAAAUCAGAUUCAGCUCCAACUCUGGUCCCUGAAGCCUCAUAUUCAUGCUCUAACGCAUGGUGUGCUUUAUGACUGCACCACUUGUAAUGUACAUUACCCUAACAUGGGAUGACCAGCACUUCCCAUGAGAAGCAGACUGGAGACUCAGUACCGAAGCUGCUUGUAAUGGACCCUCUGGCUAAAUCUCUGGGAUUCACUGGAGGAGAACAUGUCAGAGAUGAAGGCUGGAACCGCAGAAGGCCAUAAGCACAAAAGGGCUGAGGUAAGAGAGAUGAUAAAACGCACGGGGAGCAGAGACUAAAAUAAGCCGAUGUGGGUAUAGGGGUGAGGUGAAAAAUCGAUGGAUGUGAAUAAUUUGGAGCAGUGUUUCAGGAUCGGAUGGGAAAUGCAGCCAAAAGUGAAAUUUUUAUCCCC